UGGGGAAUCUUGCACAAUGGGGGAAACCCUGAUGCAGCGACGCCGCGUGAGCGAUGAAGCCCUUCGGGGUGUAAAGCUCUUUCGGCAGGAACGAUAAUGACGGUACCUGAAGAAGAAGCUGCGGCUAACUACGUGCCAGCAGCCGCGGUAAUACGUAGGCAGCAAGCGUUGUUCGGAGUUACUGGGCGUAAAGAGUGCGUAGGUGGUUCUUUAAGUUCGGUGUGAAAUCUCCCGGCUUAACUGGGAGGGUGCGCCGGAAACUGGAGAGCUCGAGUGUGGGAGAGGAAAGCGGAAUUCCUGGUGUAGCGGUGAAAUGCGUAGAUAUCAGGAGGAACACCGGCGGUGUAGACGGCUUUCUGGACCACUACUGACACUGAAGCACGAAAGCGUGGGGAGCAAACAGGAUUAGAUACCCUGGUAGUCCACGCCCUAAACGAUGCAUACUUGGUGUGAGCCAUUCAUUUGGUUCGUGCCGGAGCUAACGCGUUAAGUAUGCCGCCUGGGGAGUACGGUCGCAAGGCUGA
rnacentral:rRNA from 1 species